UACAGAUACCGAUUAGGAGAGGUGUGGAAAAUAAUGUAGCUCCAAAAGAGCAAACAAGCCGGAUACACUAACCUGGAAAGAGAAUAAGUAAUGUUAUUUUAUUUUAUAGAUGGAUUUACUGGAGGAGAUCAGUGUUUUUGCGCACCCUGCUGGACUAGUUUCGAACACAAUGACGUCACCUGUGGAACAAAACAGAUCUGAGAUCAGGCUCAGAGGACGACAGGUAACGCGAACACCUGAACACUAAUGGAGGAAACUGUGAUCAAAUACAGACACUGUGGAAGCGAUGUGUACAGUUUCUCCUCGUAUUCUCAGUGUCAGUGUCCGAUCUGUCAUCAGACUCCAACUUUCGGACUGUUAAACGCGCCGGUCGCGCUUUCCUGCCCGUUUACUAAUGGACACAAAAUCUCAUGUGCGUUUCUGAUAGGAUCUAUUCACGGACCAUCAUAUAUUGGAGAAUGGAGUGACACUGAGAUACACGUGGGUCUUUCAAACUCAGAAGGUCUGGUCUACAACUACACCCUGUCCGGGGUCCGCAGAGAUGCUGGCGGCUGGGAACGGUGUGUUUGUGUGUGUGUGUGUGCCCAGCUCGCGAGAUCAUGGGACGCUGAGCUGGAGAAGUUCUCUGUGCUUCCAGACUGGACUUCAGAACGGUUCGAGGAGGAGCGCGUGUUCGGCUCCUGCUGUUACGGGUUCGCUCUGAGCUUUAUAAACCACAUGCUCUCGCGGAUCGGCCAGCAGCCGCUGAGCAGAGACCAGUUCACCCAACGACACGUCUUACCCCGGAUCAAGGCGGUUUCUCAGUACAUCAGCAUCUAUCAUGCGAUAUCACAACAUGGGUUUUACACCGUGAACGCACCCGAUGACGUGUGAUGCACGUUUCCUCAUAAAACGCUAUAUAAGCCUAUUAUAUCCCUGCUCUUCAUGAAUGUAUUAAAACACAUGGUGUUCUUAGAGAACGCUAGGGUUCUUGAUUCAAUAUUAAAGAACACUUAAAGGUUCCAAAAGAAGGUUUUCGCAUAUAAGAACCAUUGCUUCCCAACAGAGGCGUUCAGUCACCCGUUCUUAGGCUAGAGCCCUGUGUGCGAUUGAGAGAUUCCCUGGAUGUUAAAGGCUCUUCAUGGAAUAAAGAAGCUUUAUUUUAAGAGUGAAGGAGAAGUGUCUUAUAUUGCAUAAUACUUAUAUGUUUAAAUGUACACUGUGUUUUUUUGUUUUUUUUUGUAAUUAACAAGAUUUAAAUAAUGACUCAAUACAUAAUGUUUGUGUGUGUGUGUGUGUGAACAGAGGAGAGUCUGCUGGAGAAACGAGAAUGAGACAGAGCUCGUAAUAAAACAAGAAUCAACAUCAAAUCGACCUCGCUUGACUGCUACGCUGAUCUAACCACUGACUGAUACAACAGCAACACAACACUUGAGAAUGAUCACGACUCCGAUCACCAUCCAAUCACAGCCCACACUCACAUGCAUCAGACCAUACGAAUAAUAAACUCUAAAUUGAGAAUCAAUUAUUCUUUUCAGACAAAUCAUUGUUUGAUUUGUGAACAGAAGCAUCUGCUGUCUAGUUGCUACCGGUUCGAGCCGGACUCGCGCUAACGGCAAAUACCUUCUACUGUCCGGCUGGGUUUUGAUUUCAAAUCAUUUUUGGCGAAAUCAGACGAUGCAAAUAUUGUUCAUGAGUUUAACAUCCAGCCAUGCAAGAAAACAUGAAAUCUUCCUGAGGGAAUGAUAUGCUGAUGUGAUUUCCUAACCAAUAAACAUUUCUAAUU